UACGUAGGGUGCGAGCGUUGUCCGGAAUUAUUGGGCGUAAAGAGCUCGUAGGCGGUCUGUCGCGUCGGAUGUGAAAGCCCGGGGCUUAACUUUGGGUCUGCAUUCGAUACGGGUAGACUAGAGUGUGGUAGGGGAGAUUGGAAUUCCUGGUGUAGCGGUGAAAUGCGCAGAUAUCAGGAGGACCACCGGUGGCGAAGGCGGAUCUCUGGGCCAUUACUGACGCUGAGGAGCGAAAGCGUGGGGAGCGAACAGG
rnacentral:rRNA from 1 species